rnacentral:rRNA from 1 species
GUCUACGGCCAUGCUACCCUGAACAAUCCCGACCCCAUCUGAUCUUGGAAGCUAAGCAGGGUUGGGCCUGGUUAGUACUUGGAUGCGAGACCACCUAGGAAGAUCAGGUGCUGUAGGCA